rnacentral:rRNA from 1 species
AUGGAUGUCCUGGAGUUUAACAUGCGCCCGUCCUUGGGUUGUUGCUUGCAUAUAAUUCUGUUCAUCGCUUGCUUCUCCUUUACUUAUUUAGCCAAGCUACCCUCUUCUCCAUCAUCACCCCCACGACGCCUGCCUGCCUCUUCCCUCCCUCCUCGUCCUUCACGCUACUACAAAAGACCACACACAAGCACAGCACAGCACAGCACAAGCAAGUGGUCACACUACUGGCAAGCUCCCCAACUCAGGCAAUUCUCUCGCAUAAACUACUACGUGGCUCUCUUGGCAGAGGAUCUAGAGCAGCGGUGGGUCAGCGCGCUCGCACCAGCUUCGAUGGGCCUCGACGUCACGGAAAUAUCUGAAUCGGCGGCCCUCCGGCCGAUCCAGACGGCCGUGAGCGGCGCCCGGGCAACGGCAGCGCCGGGGGCGGAUGAUGACGCUCCAGCCGCCGACAACGGCUGCGUCACACCCAAGGCGAGCGGCGCGCGGUCAGCCGCUGCAGGAGGAGGGGACGACGACGACGCUGCCGCCAGCACCGGCUGCGUCACACCCAAGGCAAGCGACUCCAUGGCCAUGCUGCCCAUUGCGCCACUGCGGGAAGACGAUGUCGGCGUCGCCACGGCCACGGGCGGAGAAAUUGGGCCGCGAGACGGCUGCGCCGCUGCAGGCGACGAGAGCAGCUUCACCACGCCGACGGCAGCCGACAGCGCGCUGGUGCAGGCCACUGUGUGCCCACCGGCGCCGCGGAAAACGGCUGCGGCGCUGACGAGGAAGCGGGCGCCGCUGCAGCAGCGGCUCUUCUAUCCGGUGCCCCGCGACCUGACCACCGUGUUCGUGGCCGUGCCGCAGUGCCCGCCGCCUGCCAAGAAGAUGCGGGCGCACGUCGUGGAGUCAUCGGUGCGCCUAGGCACGUGA